CCCCACUUCGUAGGUUCAACGUGGAUGAUACAUACUCGGCGUUGCAGCGGAGAAUUUUGCAUUGAGAACAAUUGGUGAUCCUGGAUUGAAGCCCAGAAGACAGAAUUGAAUGGAAUACAUAGUACUGUAAGCCAUUGGCAUAGAGAUUAAAAUAAAUCCCAUGGGUAUUGAUGAUAUGGCCAAGACAAAGAGUGUAGAGACUAAGAGUUCGAGAAGUAGAGAAUUCCUUGACGAAGACUGAAAGCCGGGGGGAUUCCGUCACUUCCUUUUGGGAAGUUGCUGAAGAUGAAGCAAACCUUAACUUUAAUAGGAGAUUUGCGCUGGGACUCCGGGAGGAAAGAGCAAAAGUUCAAAGCUUUGAACAUGGCAGCGUCACCCUUGUGGGAACAGGACGGAACCCAGAGCUCUGUGUCGAAGGACCCAACCAGUUGUGCUGUGGAAAUGCAAAGCAAAUGUCCGGUCUGGCAGCUUCCAUGCUUAAAUUCCCAAAGGACCCCCACUUUCUCUUGGGUUCUCUGGCCUUCCCUCUCUGGUCCAAUCAGAGGAGACCUUUCCCCUUCGGCUCCCUUUCGGGAGUCCUAGCCACUUAUGCAGCCUGAGUUUUAGCGGGGUUCCAGUCUCAGGAGUCACUGGAGGGGCAGAGAAUUUACCCGGGUUUUCUCUCGAAGCCGCCCAGCUCCAGGCAGGACAACUUGUUGACCGCAGAGCUCCGAGUUCUGGAACAAAAACUGCGCUUUGAUACAGCUCUCUGAACCGGAAAAAGCAGAUCUAAUGAAUAUAUAGUUAAACAAGGAAGUCCUGUUGCAUUCGUGCUACGAGAACGAUACCAGAGGAGGAACUUUCGUCUUCCCUGGUGGUCUAGUGGUUAGGAUUCGGCGCUCUCACCGCCGCGGCCCGGGUUCGAUUCCCGGUCAGGGAAGUUAAUUUUUAAAGAACUUUUCUAUUCCAGAGAACUUCCAGUACAAAACAAGGCUGCUAAGCAUACAGAGAUUACCACUCUUUUCUUCAACAGAUGGGACACUAGAGACUAGCAAGAAAGUUUCCGAAGACUUCCCGGGGAAAGGACAGAAAACGGACGAGUGCAAAUUUGUUACUUUAGACUUCCUUAGCUUCCCCGAGUCUGCAUUUCAUCUCUCUGCGCCUGGCCAUGUGGAGUGGGUGGAACAGCAUCUCAUACGUCUUAGAAUCCUUAAUUUGCUUAAUAACUAAGCUCAGGAGUUAUUUCAGAAUUCUGAACUGAUAUCCCUAACUGUAUGCACUUCCUUCUCAAAUUAUCCCGUUUUUAUUUUACAUAUUAGAUCUCCUCGGGGAAUGUAAGUUAUUUGAGAGUGAAGGCUUUGGUUUUUGCCUGUCUUCUAUAGGAAGUGCUUAAUAAAUGUUCAUUCAGUCAAGUAUUUAUUUUGUUUACUAUAUGCUAGGCUUGGCGCUGCAAGCAGACAUUACAGAAUUAAAGCAAAACCAGACACUGUCUUCAAGAAACAUCCAUCCUUUUUUUAAAAAAUUAAAUUAGUUUUAACUAACAAGAAUUCAUUUUCUCCCCUGCCCACUUCCACUGGGAAAAAAAAGGAAACAUUUUUUUUUUUAACAAAUAUGCGUUGACAAAUAAAACAAAGCCCCAUAUUAGCCUAUAUCCAGAAAUGUAUGUUUUACUCUGAUUAUUUAGUCCAUCAUCUCUCUGUCAGGAAAUGGGGAGUAUUUUUCAUUAUCAGCUUUCUGAAAUCAUGGCUGAUCAUUGCUUUGAUCAGAGUUCUUAAGUCUUAAGUUGUUUAUUUUCAUAAUGAUAUGUAUAUACAUAUGCAUGGUUCCAAAUAGCUUUGCAGAUGACUGGACCUAUUCAUAUCUCUACCAACAGUGCAUUGGGAUACCUGUUUUCCUGCAGUCCCUUCAACAUAUAAUUUUUUAUUUUUGUCUUUUUUGCUCAUCUCAUAGGUGUGAAGUAUAAUUUUACCGCAGCUUUAAAUUUGUAUUCCCAUAAUUACUAGUAAUUUGGAGCAUUUUUUUUCACAUGGACAUUGAUAGCUUACAUUUCUUCCCCUGAGAAUUGCCUGUUAACAUCUUUUACUAUUUAUCAUUUGUGAAGUGGUUCUUUUAUUUUUGUAUAAAUUUGGAUCAGUUACUUUUGUGUCUCGGAAAUGACACUUUUAUUUGAGAAGCCUGUAGCAAAUAUUUCUCCCAUUUAAUUGUUUCCCUUCUCAUUUUUGCAUUGCUUUUACAAAACCUUUUUAAUUUUGCGUGAUAAAAAUUGUCCAUUUUAUCCUCUUGAUUUUCUAAACAGUGUGUGGUCAUGAACUCUCUUUCUGUCUGAAAGAUAGAUUUGAGAGAUCGAUCUUCCUUGCCAAGAGCUUCCAUAUUAAUGAGGAUGGUGAAGAAAAGAUUAAAAGUAAUCCCUCUUUGCUGAUGAUAUGAUGGUAUAUUUGGAAAAUCCCAGGGAAUCCUGCUAAUUGAGACACUUAAUGGCUUUGACGAAGUUGCAGGCUACAAAAUAAAUCAUCAGAAGUCAAGAGCAUUUCCUUUUUAAUUAAUAGCAAAACUCAAGAAACAGAAAGGGCGGUUGGAAGGGCAUCCUUACUUCAAAUGACGAAAAAGUGCAGAA